CUUUGAGCUGCGACCUUUUCCGCUUCUGUAUUGGUAAGAAUUUGGGGGUAGACUCUAUUAAGCUGAAGGAUAAUUUUAUCAACCACUUGCUCAUUCAGUCGGCUAUUGCUUGUAAGAAAAUACAUGUCGUGUUGCAGCCGGUGACAGUACGACUGAUCGAGCAUAGCGGCCCGGCCCGGGGCUGCGGCCCUUCCUGCUGCCGAGCGCUCCGGGGCCGCCCC
rnacentral:lncRNA from 1 species